rnacentral:rRNA from 1 species
UUCGGGUUGAUCCUGCCGGAGGCUACCGCUAUUGGAGUUCGAUUAAGCCAUGCGAGUCUAGAGGCCUAGCCUCGGCGUACCGCUCAGUAACACGUGGGUAACCUACCCUAUGCUGGGGAAUAAGCUCGGGAAACUGAGAAUAAUGCCCCAUAGUCCACUACGCCUGGAACGGUGAGUGGAUCAAAGCUCCGGCGGCAUAGGAUGGGCCUGCGGCGUAUCAGGUUGUAGGGGGUGUAAUGUACCCUCUAGCCAUCCACGCGUACGGGUGUUGGGAGACAUUGCCCGGAGAUGGAUUCUGAGACACGAAUCCAGACCCUACGGGGUGCAGCAGGCGCGAAAACUUGGCAAUGCGAGAAAUCGUGACCAGGGAACUCCAAGUGGCAGGGGUAAGACCCUGUCUUUUUCCGACUCUAAAUAGGUCGGCGAAUAAGGGGUGGGUAAGGACGGUGCCAGCCGCCGCGGUAAUACCGGCGCCUCAAGUGGUAGUCGCUUUUAUUGGGCCUAAAACGUCCGUAGCCGGUCUGGUACAUUCGUGGGUAAAUCAACUCGCUCAACGAGUUGAAUUCUGCGAGGACGGCCAGACUUGGGACCGGGAGAGGUGUGGGGUACUCUCAGGGUAGGGGUAAAAUCCUGUCAUCCUGAGAGGACCACCUGUUGCGAAGGCUCCACACUAGAACGGAUCCGACGGUCAGGGACGAAGCCUAGGGGCACGAACCGGAUUAGAUACCCGGGUAGUCCUAGGUGUAAACGCUGUGGACUUGAUGUUGGGGACGCUCCGAGCGUUCUCAGUGUCGAAGCGAAGGUGAUAAGUCCACUGCCUGGGGAGUACGGUCGCAAGGCUGAAACUUAAAGGAAUUGGCGGGGGAGCACCGCAACCUGAGGAUUGUGCGGUUUAAUUGGAUUCAACGCCGGA